AGACCGGAGGAGGUGUAUUUUCCUCUCUUCCUUUGUUGCUUGUCUCUCUCGGUGUUUCCUUGUGAAAUCUCUUCCUUUUGGUGAAGAACUAACAUGGAAUUUAUUCUUCCCUGAGCACUGCUCUUCACCAAAGGGUUGAGAUGGAAGGAUUUGGCGAGAUUGAAGAGCACCGUGGAAGGGGCAAGGAAGAUCACAUCUGAUGGAUCUUCUCAUGUGGAAAAAGAUUGGCCUUUAAACUGAGAGCCCUUAAGUCAUUUUGAUCUUUGCUUUGCUGUAACAUUUAGUAUUUGUCAUCUCCUUGUAUGACUUCAGUGUAGUUUUACCUGGAGUUUGGUUCUUUUUAUUCAGUCUCGUGGGGUCAGUACUGACUUUACUGUUUAUGCUUCUGUCUUUUGUACAAAUCUGGUCCCUGUUCACUUGCCCUUUUGCAUGCAACCUAAGCUAAGCUAGAGCUGGGAUGUUGCAUUAUGCAAGGUGUUUUGCUCAUUCGCCUUUUGUUUUCUAUGGGUACAUUUCUAUUACUUGGACCUGUUAGAGGUGUAUUGCGGUGCACUCAUGGUGUUUGUUUUUGUUCUUAAUGUGAAACUGUGUUCUUUUCUUCUGAGGAAAGUGAUUGGCAUGACUGAUGAAUCAAUUAGAUGCACGAAGUGACCUUAUGAGCUGAAACCCUGAGGCCUAUUUUUUCUCUGAUUUGCCAAUUUACCUGCCCAUUGCCAUGUCAUUGUAUCCGGAAAUCAUUUUAGGUCAUUGCCUCAUUGGCCUGAUGUUCUACCUUUUAUCUGCAGAUGCUAUGCACGCCUGCACCCCAGGGCUGUCAACUGCCGCAAGAAGAAGUGUGGUCACAGCAACCAGGUUAGUGUUACUGCAUUGCAAGUGUUGUGCCUGUAUGUAGGCUAGCACACGUCUUCUCCGUCCUGCCAUUUGUGAAGUGCUGAAGCUCAACUAAGUUAAUGAAAUAUCUAUUGCUUUUCUUCUUUCAGCUGAGGGCCAAGAAGAAGAUCAAGAACUGAGGUGUUGCCGCUAGUCAGUUUCAUGGACAAUUGAAGUCCUCUGUUGUAGCAAUGCAUGUUGUACUGUGUUGUUGUCUUGUUGAACCGAGUUUGUUUACCCAACAUUUGGGUCUGUUGUGAUGUUUCACCUUGUCGAUUGUCGAUGACGACAGUACUAUAUGGCAAUAGCUAAUUAGCUACUGUGAUUUGGUCACAGUGUGGUGCUGCAAUUUUGUUUAGUGGGCAGCCGGGGCCGUGUCCUACCCACUCCAUUUGAAAUUAGUAACUUUAAUUUGGCUUUGUCCCGGGUUGUACUAUUUUUUUUCUAACUUUGAUCAAUUUAAUAAAAGAACUCAUCAUAUACAUCAUUAUCUGUAAAAAUGUCUAGAUAGUGUAUUUAUUUAAAGUUGUAGAUGCUAAGUUUCAAGCUUGAUUAAAGUUAGAGAAGUUGUAUUUAGGACAACUAUAUGCCUGGUGCCUCACUCUUCCUAUGUUUUCCUUGUCGGAACAGAAGUUAAGUACUCUCCAUCUGAAAUUAGUGCUCUUCGUCUUAAAUUAAAUUAAUUUCUAGAGUUGCUUUAAGUAUUUCAAACUAUUUAAGUUUGAUUAACUUUAUAAAUUAAGUGUUGAUAUUUAUGACAUUAAAUUAGUAACAAUAGACAUUUUUUCUCAAGAUGUUUUCAAAAAUUGAAAGAAAUAGAUACACAAUCUAUGUUUAUAGUAUAAUUAUUUGAUUCAAUAGAUGUUAUUUUUUCUACAUAGUUGAUCAAAGUUAAGGUGAUUUUAGGAAUUAAUUUAUUUUGAGACAUUAGAGGACGUCGAAGUGAAGGCAAGCAUGGUACAGCGCUCGCAGUCGCAGGUUGACAUGCACAUGCUUGUCGAGUAUUGUCAGGAAACUACUGAAACGGCACGAACAACUCCAGCUCCGCCUGCAGCAAGCCUCGGUGCUCGGGUGCUGUCGCUGCAUCUCUGUUCUAUGUGGUUUUCUUUGGUAUGACUGCCGUGUGCGUGGUGCGAGCUCAAAAUGAUCCCAAUGCAUGCGUCCGAAUUUGGGUCAAGCGGAAGGUGCCAUGGCGCACCUUUGUUUCCCCGAGAAACGCGUCGGUCGGCUGGUGCUGGGAGCGCCAUGCUUUGCUCUUAUUAGCCUCCUCGUCUCCUGCCAUCUGCCCUCCCCCUCCUGGACUCCUCCCCGCGACGCGACGGCCGUCCCCUCGGUCGUCCGGUCGCCACACGUCUUCCACCUCGUCGCUCGUCGGCGAGGCGGGGAGCGGCGCCACCUCUUCCUUGAAUCGUACGUGUGCCGCCUCGCCUUCGUCUCGUCGUCUGGGUCCUCUUCCUCCCCUUAGCUCUCUCAUCGCCUCCCGUCAAAUUCUUUUAUGGCAUAUGGCACUGCAGCUUCUUUUUCUCCUUGCUCUGAUUUUAAACGUUCAGACAGUUUCGUGUCUGUUUCCUACGAGGCUGAUAGGUCAAUAGAUUGUUUUCUUUUUCCUUUCGGUAGUAUUGGCAUGUUCGUUUGACAGAUUAUGAGAGAAAAAUACUAUAAAAUGGCUGAUAAAUUUGGUAAAUAAUCUGAAAUGACAAUGCUUAUAUACGUGUACGGUCGAUGGAAGCAAAGCAUUUAUCGUGUAACUUUCCGAUUUUACAGCAACUAUUCAUCAGAAGGUACUCGGCCGAUCCGAUCCACCGGAUCGGCCGCCAAACCGCAUAUCUCCACGGUGGUGCAAGGGAAAGCCGGGGCAACACGAUGUUCUGCUGCGGUGGUACCGAGGAGGAUACGUACGCCGCACCUGCGAGCCGUCACCCAGCAGCACCUAGGAAUACGUCGCAACACAACGCAGGUAAAGAUUUGAAUUCCAACAUCUCCUCCUCAUCAUCAGGUCUCAAUACACAACAACACACAGUGUCACAGUUUGCUACAAUGCCAGGCCGCGGCAAACCAAGAGGGCCCAAUGCGCCGAGGAGCAGCGGGCCGCCGAAGGUCCUCCCCGUCGACGUGCCGGCCAUUUCCAUGGGCGAGCUGAACAACAUCACGGGGAGCUUCGGGCCGAAUGCCCUGAUCGGGGAAGGCUCCUACGGCAAAAUCUACCGCGCCGUGCUGACCUCCGGGGAGCCCGUCGCCAUCAAGAAGCUCGAUCCCAGCGUGUCCAGCGACUCUCUGGCUGACUUCUCUGCUCAGGUCCACCGCACCCACUGAAACCCAACAGAUCAAACCUUUUUCACUGAAAGACAAAACGAAUGGCAAACCGGUGUGGUUUUCUUGUUGCAGCUGUCGAUGGUCUCGAGGCUGAAGAACGAGUACUUCCUGCAGCUGAUGGGCUACUACCUGGACGACAGCCACAGGAUCCUCGUCUACCAGUUCGCCUCACACGGCUCGCUGCACGACACGCUGCACGGUACUGCAACACUUUUAUCAUCGGCCGGCCGGUGUUCUGACCAUUCAGGAUUCGCAGAUGCCACGGCAUGUGUGAUCUGUCAGUUUUGCACGCUGAAAACCCUGACGUGACAAAAAUGUGAGGAUUGCUGAACAGGAAAGAAGGGCGUGAAGGACGCGACGCCGGGCCCGGCGCUGAGCUGGGCGCAGCGGGUGAAGAUCGCCUACGGCGCGGCGAGGGGACUCGAGUACCUGCACGAGAAGGUGCAGCCGUCCAUCGUGCACCGGGACGUGCGCUCCAGCAACGUCCUCCUCUUCGACGGCCACGACUCCAAGCUCGCCGACUUCAACCUCACCAGCCAGCCGCCCGACGGCGCCGCGCGGCUCCACUCCACGCGCGUCCUUGGCACCUUCGGCUACCAUGCUCCCGAGUAAGCUUUAAUCAACAGGACUUGUUAGUUACCAAUUGUAAUUGGCUUGUCUGUCAGCUAUCCGACCAAGUGGAUAGAUAUUUUAAAAAAAAAAAAAUAGAUUGCUAGAGCGACAAAACGGAUUUGAUUAACAAUGUUAAUGACAUGUGGUAUCCUUUUCCAAAUUAAAGGUACGCGAUGACUGGAGUGUUGACGCACAAGAGCGACGUGUAUAGCUUUGGAGUGAUACUGCUGGAGCUGCUAACCGGCAGGAAGCCCGUGGACCACACCAUGCCCAAGGGACAGCAAAGUCUGGUGACUUGGGUGAGCCAAGCAUGCUCAAUUAUCUACUCCUGCCCCAGCAUAAUCCAUAAGCUUACUGUACUGAUACCUGAAUUUCCCUGGCAAAACUAAGGCCACGCCGAGGUUGAGCGAGGACAAGGUCAGCCAAUGCGUGGACCCGAAGCUAGGGGACGACUAUCCUCCAAAAGCAGUAGCAAAGGUAACAAGCUUAAGGAUGAGAAUGAACCCGGUUCUUCUCUAGUGUAAUUAAAUAAACUAAAUAAUUUAGUUCAUUUAAUUAGUUAUACUAGAGAAAGAACUACGAGUAUCCAUUUAGAGCACCGUUUCCAUCCUUAAACAAGCUCACGCUCGCUCUGCUGUCAAGUGUUAACCGAUCCUCCUUGAGAUCUUCACAUCCUGUCAGUCAUCAAAAAAUAACUUGAGAGAAUUCCUGUGUUUCAGAUGGCGGCAGUGGCGGCGUUGUGUGUGCAGUACGAGUCGGAUUUCCGGCCGAACAUGACCAUCGUGGUGAAGGCGCUGCAGCCUCUUGUGAAGGCCGCCGCAGCCACAGCUGGGGGGGCCUAGCAGUACAUGAACAUGAUAGAUGAUAAUGAUACACAAGCAUAUAUAUCUCCAGCACAUGUCCUCCAAAGAUGUGUUCUUGGUUAUCUGUCGCUUGUGUGUACAUCUCACCUUCAGUGUGGUUGUAAUGCAACAUGUACUGACUGAUCAAUCUGCAAAGGAUUCAAGUGUUCAUCACCUUUUUGGGGACUCUUCAAUAUAUAGUAUGUAGUUUAGACUCCACAUCACCAGUCCUCCUUGUCCCCUUCCGUUGGUAGGAAAGGAACUUGCUGCUUGCCCCACAGGCAGAGAGACCUGCCGCACUGCUUUGUUCUUAUCCUGUUCCUGACUACGGAUCAAAGAUUCCACGGAACCAGAAAAUGCUAAGCGAGAGGAGACGAUGGACCCACCUUGUGCAGUUGCAAUCCGUAAUCAUCGGUGUUCUCUUUGACAGUAUACCUUGGUGGGACCAUCCUUGACAUGAUGGCAUGAGCCUGUCUACUCCGAUCCAAAACGAAUCUGUAACCUUCAGCACGGAUCGAGGAUGUAGGCACGUUAUAUUCAGACAAUUCUCAGUACAGAACCAGUACUGUGUCUCGCAUCGCAAUCGCAUGGAUUUAGCUCCACCUCCACAUCGUGAAGAGGAUAAGGUCUACGGUCUACCAGCCAGUGGUAAGAAGGCCUGGCAUGCAAUGCAACCCCCCUGUCCACAGGAACACUUCACUCCAAACUUGAGUUGAUCGACGACUCGACGUGCGCCGUGACAAUUCCAUACAGUUGUAAAAGAAAAAAAAAAGGUUGGGAAAACCGCUGAGCACGUGAGAACACAACGCUCCUGAAAGUGAACUCUUUUUUCCCCUUUUGCGUGUACUGCUGCUACUCUAGCUCUACUACAGCUCUGUUUCAGAAUCCAAGGCAGGCGAGGCGAGGCGAGACGAGACAGAGCACGCCGCAAAACGCCUCGCGCUAAAGAGUCAAGUGAUGAGUCCCCGAGCAUCGACGUGUCACGUGGGUCAGCGUCACGCGUCGCUUUCAGCCUCAGGCUUCACUUUUAGCAUCCGAACAAAACACGGAGAGCGAUGCUGCAGCUACCAGCAAGCUGAUGUGCAGCUACAAGCCGGCAAUCGAUGCGUUUUUGUUGGGUUCCCACCACGUAGUACCUCUUGAACUGCACUCAGCUAGCUCGUCAUCACCUCAGGCGGUCAGGCCAGCGUCCAUUUCUGUUGCCGUAAUCGCCACCCGGCCAGCGAAGCUAGCGACACGGCUGCGUGUACGUAGGGCCGUCUCUAGGGAUUGGGCAGCCGGUACGACGGCGGGGCCCAUGGCGCUAAAGCACCUAUAAAUAUAUAUGUAAUACUUAGUAUAUAGAUUUAUCUAAUUUUUUGAAGGCUUAUACAGACACUAUAUAAAUUCAUCAAUUAAUUUAAAAAAGAAAUUCAUUAAUCAGCACGUCAUCCACAUCCACCUAUUGCUAGUGUUGCUUCAUAUUCUCGCUUAAUCGAUUAGUUGAGCAAAUCAAUGUUCCUCUUUAUCGUCUUCUCGUUCUAUUGUCCAAUCGUCCAAUACAACAAUGUGGCUCCAUGACACGCUAACACCACAUGUCCGCACACGAUGUCACUACUAGACACUGGAGCAGGAAGAGUAAGAGCAUUGUUGAUCGAUACUUUAUCAAUUUUAUUAUUAGUAUUCCGUGAUAGGGUUCUAAAUUUCUAAUUCUAUGCUAUUCUAUUUAUUUGUUGUACUAUAAUUAUCUUUUAUAAAUUAAAACAUAUGGUGCAAAUCAAUUCUUUUUAGUUGUACUAUAUAUUUUAUAUAUUUGAUAUAUAAAAAAAUGAUAGGCCCUUACCCUUUUACUUGCACAAGGGACCUCAAAAUUAUAGAGACGGCCCUGCGUGUACGUACGCUUGUGACUGACGCACAUCGCGUGGGGAUCGCGGCGAUGUCUGAUGAUCGAUCCGUCCACUGCACGAUGCAUCAUCGGCUAUGAUCGCUCGUCGGUUUGUCUUGUCCGUCCUCCUCUUCUCGGCGUCGGAGAGCUCCAAGGACCAAGGACGAAAGGAAUCUGCAGUAGCCCCAGUGGCCCGAGCAAGCGAGCUGCGUGGAAGAGGACACGAGAGCGCCAGCCACGCCGACGAGAGGAUGGGAUGGCAAUGUGCCGCGGUCGGGGUUGCCAACUCUCUGGUGCUCCAUUCGAUUCUUGCGGUUGCGAAGUCCACUACCUGGCCCUUUUCCUUUCACUCAAGUAGCGUGACAACUUUCUUGCAAGCAAUCAGCGGCUGUUGGCUUAUUGUUGCGAAAACAAAUUAAAACGAAUCGAUGCAACCUUACCUUGGCAGCUUGAGGGUGACAAAAUCACAUCAUCCAUAGUUUACUGGGGCAGGGUUGCUGGCACAUCUACAUCCAGAUAAUUUUCUCUCGAGUAAAUUUCCACACAAAAGGUCACGAACCUAUAAUAUUUGUUACGUGCUCAUUUUACAAACGCACCAUUACUUUGGAUUGGUUUCUCACAAAACUAUACGAGUCUGAUGGAACCAUCAGUGACAUGACAUGAUGGGCCUGGAUGGACAUGGAUGAGGAAAAGGCAACAAAGUUGAUGUUUGUGAGAAACCAGACUAGAAUAUAGUGGUAGGUUUCUGAAAUCUACUACGUAAAAUGUUUAUAAGUUUGUGACCAAUGACCAAUGUCCAUUGGUGGGUUUUGUGAAAUUUAUUCUUUUAUUUCUCCUUCCCCUUGUCGCGAUGCAUCAUGUGAAUGUCAAGUCAUUUGCAGCAUAUAUAUUCCUGAUUGGAGGCAUGUGAGGUUAGUAGGUUACCCACCGCCGAUCGAGGGGUCUAGUACUUACAAGUGCUCAAUAACUUUAACUUCGGUUCAGGCCUUGUUUAGUUCCAUUGAAAAUCCAAAAACUUUUCAGUAUUUUUGUCACAUCGAAUUUUACGGCAUAUAUGCAUAGAGCAUUAAAUAUAGAUAAAAAAUUAUUAAUUGUAUAGCUUACUUGAAAAUCACGAGACAGAAUCUUUUAAAUCUAGAUAGUCCAUGAUUGAACAAUAUUUAUUAAAUACAAACGAAAGUGCUACAGUAGUAAAAUCAAAAAAAAUUAGCUCUAACACAGCCUCAGUAGAAACAAGGCAAGAAAUUACCUUGGCAAAAGUCCAUACAUGAGUUACAUAUAUGUGAGCACAUUGAAUCUCAAGAAAAAUGCCCAGGUCAGUGGCUGGCCAAGUCCUGAAUAUUUAUUCUCUGCAGUAAGAUACCUCAACUUCUCUUUGAUGCUGCAUUUAUUAUAUAUUGGUACUAGCAAAAGCCUAAAUGGCCUUUUCUGACUUGGACUUUUUAAAUACCAGUACUUCGAACCUCAAAUGGUGACCAAAUGGCCAUGCUGCCUUAAGAAGGAGAGUUGACCAAUUGGGCAGGUCCUGAAUAAAUAAUCUCAGUAUACCUGAACUUUUCUUUGACGCCACAUAACUAGCAAAAUCACAAAUGAUCUUUGCUAGUUUUUGCUAAAUGAUCUACCGGCCUGCAAACAAUAUCUGCUUAAUUUGUUAAGUUUCUUUUCACUGAUGACUCUCCGGUCUAGUAAACGCCAGUCCGACUCCGAGAGUAGGUUUCUGUCAACAGAAGCUGUCAUUAGAUCCCGAAUUAGGUCAACUGCAAAUGUUUUUUUGAACGUAUUAGGCCAACUGCAAUAACAGGGAUUACAGAAGCCAACUGUAAUAACCCGGAUUACGGCAAUCAAAGCCUCAAAAGAUUGAUGCGAAACCUACUGAAUUGUUUCUUUACAUUACACAAUAUCAAAUGCUUAGUACACCGAUCUGGAGGGAGUUGGUUGACAAUACUUUCGUCAGAAAAAUGAUUGCCACCUGCUGCUAGUAUGUCUGUCAACGUUGAAAGCUUGCCUACAUUGACCUUAACCAAUGCAUUACAAAUCAAAAGGAAGCGACAAAACUAGACGCAUGGAUCUUCUGAUGAACGAGACGCAAAUAGUCAAAUACUACUACCUCCAUACCAAAAAAGAAUGGCACUCUAGUUUUAUACUAAGUCAAAGUUUUCUUACAUUUGACCAAGUUUAUACACCAAUAUUUAUAUUACUAAACAAGCGUUGUUAAAUUCAUCACCAAAUACAGUAGUUUCAUGGUGUAACUGUCGAUGUCACAAAUAUUAAUAAUCUUUUAUAUAAACUUGAUUCAUUCUCUUUGGGAAGACGAAGAAGAGUAUGUUUGUCGCCGGAGGUAUGUUAUAUUUUCAACUUAGGUUUCGUUUGGAUGUUGUUGAAUUCACCUCAAUUCACAUGUGUUGGAGUGGAUUGGGGUGAAAUUUAGUUCAAGCUCCACUUCAACCCACCCCAACACAUGUGGAUUGAUGCAAAUCCGACUACAUCCAAAUAAGGCCUUAACUGUGCUGAAAAAUAUCGAAAAAUUUCAGACACUUUCAACUUAACUGCGCUGAACAAUAUCGACAAAUUUCAGACAAAGACAGUGGAAAUAUCCAGGAAACUCUCGGUCCGGGUCGACCGGACAAGGCGUCUAGCAGACGGCAAGGACGUGCAUUGCUAGCAGACGGCAAGGACGUGCAUUGCAGUCUUGCAGUUGUCGGGAUCUUCCUUCCCUAGGUGACACCGUUUCGUCAUAGGCUGAAAACUCAUAUGUGGACUGUCUGCUUAGAUUUAGAAUGGACUCGGCUAAAGAAAUCAUCAAGCGCCCUAUAAAUAAAUGUACUGAUCUAGCCUGACUCUGAAAGCAUAGUUUGUAUUUUUCAGAGAAAUAUUUUUUUAAAAUGAUUUUUCAGAGAAAUCUAUAUACACAUCAAGGAGUUUUUGCAUCGUAGAAGAAACGGUCCUGAACAUGAUAGCUUCAUGAAUUCUUCUUGGUUGUGGCUUUCUGAUCGUGGACCCUUGGACAGUGUGCGCAUCUUGAAAAAUGAAAAUCAUAGGCGAGAACAGUGCACAUGUCCAAUGGCACAUGUUUGCAGUCUGUAGAGCUGGCAGCUGGGGCUUCUUAGCCUGAAUGCGACACCACUAUUUUGCGAACGUUCAGUCAAACUGAUUUCAGCGAACAAUUUUCCGACCAAUCAUAUUUCCCUUUUAGGAAACAAUCAAUCCCGCCUAAUACCAUUUUAGGAUAGUACUAUGACGUUCCAUUCUCUUUCUCUUUUCAAACAAACGUUCACGUGGGCCUUAUUUUCUUUUGGCACGUCCGACGCGCAACCAAUUUUCUCUUUUGCACUCUCACGCACACGCACGUCAAUAUUUUUUUGAAAAGUGCACACAUAACUUACACUAGCUGAGGUACCAAACAUAACUUUAAGGAAUAAAUUAAACAUGCAAAGUUAUACAACAUUACUUUUUAUUUUUUGCAAACUAAAACAUAUACGUAAUUGAAACUUUGAGAGUUAUGAGAAUUAUAUUCUCCUUAUAUAUGUUUCAUCAACAUUUUUUUCUUUUCAGAAACUAAUCGUUCGGGGGUACGGGACAAGGGUUUAAAAGGGGUGGGAGAUGAAAUAAAAGUAACUUUUACAAUCUAUACUACAAAAGAAAUUCCAUAAUAUGAUGAAAACUUGCAAAAAAACAUAUAUAUAAUAACUUUCAUAACUUCUGCAAGUAUGAUAUUCUCAACAUCUCUAUAAUUAUGACAUCGAGUAUAUUUGUAUUCACUUGAAAUAUCUGCAAAAUAUUUUAAUAUUUAAAAUAACAAGUAAAAAACAAAGUUGAUAACAAGAAAAAACAUAAGUCAAUUGAAAACAUACGAUGGCUAUCUAACAUACACAUAAAAACACAAAUAUAAUUCUGAAUAAUAAGUUAAUCAAAUAAGUAAGAUAGCAAACACAUGAAAACAUAAGUUACAUACAUAACUCUGUACAGUAAAUUAAUCAAAUAAAUUAGGUAGCAUACACAUGAAAAAACAAGUUACAUACAUAACUCUAUAGAAUAAGUUAAUGAUCUAAGUUAGGUACCAUACACAAACAAAAGUUAUAUAAUACAACUUAGCAGAAUAGGUUAGCAGCAUAACUUAACAGAAUAAGUUAGCAAUAUAACUUAUAUGUUAUAAGUUAAUAUACAUAAAUUACUACUAGAAAAAUAAAAAUCUUCAAAACAUAUAGAAGUGGGGUCUAGUUUUGUUCGCCUCGUCACGUUGAACACACCGGUGUAGACGGAAUUAAAAAUAAAUACAUCAUUCAAAAGUUAUAGUGCUUUGAAAUAAAUAUUUUACUUUUUUUAUGAUGACGUCAAGGGGAGAGGGAAAAUAAAGUGGGAGGGAGGGAGGAUGGUGGGCGACCGACGUGUAUAGCUGUCGGAUCGUUCGCUGGAUCGAAAACUAAUGAACGACCGUGAGAAUGGCAUUGGGGCCUGAAUGCUCCCUACGUUUCCUUGCCCUCUCGAUGAAAAAACAGGAAAAGAAACUAGUGGACCAGUCUGCCUGCCAUAUUGUUUGUGCUUAAUUCAGAAUGCAGCGAUGGACCAUCUCCAUCUGUUUUAAUUCUUACCAAAAGAAACACAUAUAUAUAGAUCUACAAGUACGGAUGUACCUCGCCUACCAUAUCUUUCCAACUGCUGGCUAGUCUGCUAACAACUUCUUUUGAAACCCAGACUCAUUGCGGCAUCUGAGUAUACUCUAUAGUACGUGUACAAAAACUAUCAUGUUGAGCUAAAGAUUUGAAGCCUUUUUAUGAUGAACCGAAAGGUUUAAACCAAUUAUUAUUGUCUCCAACAAAGAAACGCACAGAAGUUAAAACUCACUUCACUUAGACUAAAUAAAAGAGAUACUACAGAUUUGCAUCACUGAACUUUGCAAUGUGUCGCUAAUAAUAAUAAUACCGUUUGCGCCAACGGUUCUGAUCCUGAUAGUACGAUUCUGAGCCGUGGACCGCGCGAUCUCGCGGACUCGCGGAGCAGGAGCCGUGCGCCGACCUCGCCCCGUGCCCGUUUGCGUUAUAGCCGGCACCAGGCAGCCCACGUUUAUAGGCGUAGGCAGGCGCGACCGCACGGCGCAGAACGCGCGGGGUACGGUACGGCGGCCUUUGCCAUUUCCCACCCUCCAUGCGUAAGGCGCCGCAGACGGGGGAGGAGGCGACGCGACCUUGACCGCACCGAAUCGCGAGCGGUAAUCUAGGCCAGACGAGAGGCGAUCGGGAGGGGCGGGGGGCGGCCGAGGGAGGAGCAGAGCGGAGGGGAUGGACGCCGAGAAUGACGACGCGCGGGCGCCGCUCCUGGCUGCCGGGCCCGGGCGGCGGCGAAACUCGGUCGCGUCCAUGCGCGGGGAGUUCGUGUCGCGGCUGCCCAAGAAGGUGCUCGACGCCGUCGACCCGGAGCGCCCGUCGCACGUCGACUUCUCCCGCUCCAAGGGCCUCCGCGAAGGUUCAUCCCGGAAUCCCAACCACUCGCCGCAUUCUCGGGAUGUUUUUCUGUGUCGUUGGUUGGUUCACUCUGUCCCUGGAAUCUAGGCGUUUCGUUUUCUUAAUCUGGUAAUUGUGCAAGAAAGCUGGCGUUACUAUCGGGCUCCUUUUAUCUACAGAGUAUCUUGGUGAUAUGAUUUAUGUGCUUUUGAUCCUAGAUUCUGGACUUGUCGUAGAUUAUUCGAUGCUUCUGUUGAUGACCCGGACACUUAUCCUUGAUCCUCCACAGACUUUUCUGCGUUCCUAGGAUUUCCCUUCUUACUUUUAUGAUUGAACAGCUCGUGACUUUACUAUCACAAUAAAACAGUGCUGUACAUAUGUGGUUGAGGAAAUACCUCUUCGGCGUGUUUGUGACUUUCUUCUCUUGUUAUUGCCCUGGCCUUCUAGGUGGUUUGUUGGAUUCUUUCUUUGCCUAAGUGUUUUUUUAACUGUGCGUCUGUGCCUGCAUAUGGUUCACACUGCAGCUUUGAUCUUCAUCGAGACAAAAGUUAUGUAGUGUGGGAACAUCGAUGCUGUACAGUAACAGCCGGUGUUUGUUUCUAAUUGUAGUAUCUAUUUACCACAUUUUGGAUCAAUUUGGUGUAUGCUCUAUUUCCAUCAUAAUUUAAUUAGUUCUCUAUUAUCGACAACCUAACAAAGUGGUGUGUUUUGGGUCUAUUAUUUAGGGGAGAGAGAGUACUAUGAGAAACAAUUUGCCACAUUGAGGUCCUUUGAGGAAGUUGACUCACUAGAAGAAUCCAAUGAAAUCAACGAGGAUGACGAGCUUGCGGAGCAAAUCCAGAGUGAAUUUUCCAUGAAGAUAUCAAAUUAUGCAAACAUUGUUCUCUUAGCGUUGAAGGUUGGUUCCUCCCCUCACUUUUCAAUUCCUAUUCAUGAACUCCUCUAGGAUGAUUAGACUAUUUCCCCCCUCAGGUAUACGCUACAAUCAAAAGUGGAUCAAUUGCUAUAGCUGCCUCAACACUGGAUUCACUGCUUGAUCUCAUGGCUGGUGGUAUCCUUUGGUUCACACAUCUGUCAAUGAAGAGCAUCAAUGUCUACAAGUACCCCAUUGGCAAACUGAGGGUACAGCCUGUAGGCAUUAUCAUCUUCGCUGCUGUCAUGGCCACUUUAGGUAUGCUUGCUUUUUCUCCCAGCGGGAAAUGGUUAAGCAAUCUAGUUAUGUCUUUUCUUGAUUACUUACUUGUUUGCGACAUGCGUACUGCCAUGUUAGAACUAUACUCAAUUGAGUGCGUCUUCCUGCCAAAAUCCUCUACAUUAAUUUGCUGUCGGGUCUGCAGGCUUCCAAGUAUUUAUUCAAGCUGUUGAAAAGCUGAUAGUGAAUGAGGCUCCAGACAAACUGAACCAAGUGCAAUUAUUGUGGCUAUAUUCAAUCAUGAUCUUUGCAACAGUAGUGAAAUUAGCUCUGUGGCUCUACUGCCGUACGUCGGGUAACAAGAUUGUCCGUGCUUAUGCUAAGGUUAAUAUCUUGUUCCAUUUUCUCAACUUGGCAUGCAUAUUUUUUCUUAAAAUUAAACAUAGUUUAUCAAAUAUCUGUGAUGGAUUGGUUUCCACAGGAUCACUAUUUUGAUGUUGUCACAAAUGUCGUGGGUUUGGCUGCUGCUGUCCUUGGUGAUAGAUUCUACUGGUGGAUUGACCCAAUUGGUGCAAUUGCCCUUGCAGUGUACACAAUUUCAAACUGGUCUGGAACGGUUUGGGAAAAUGCAGGUUUGUGUUACUUGUUCAGUUUGAACAUUUGCUUAGGCAACAGUACCUGCACUCAUUUUUUUUGAAAGAGAAUUACCUGCACUAAUUUACAUCCGUCCAAUCGUACUCAUGAUAAGGAAGUGAGUCUAGCUCGAGUGGUUAGGUGAGAGGUGUGGUUGUGCCUCCAACCACCCAGGUAUAAGUCCUCGCCCUAAAUUUGGGUGCAUAUUUUCUCUUUUUAAUGAAAAAACACCUAAUUCCUCCUAGAUUAGAUGGAUGGACUGGACUUCUCUUCUUAAUGAAAAAAUGCCUACAUCCCGGUUGGAUGGACUUAUUAUUUAUACUAGCCUACUAGAAAUGGAUGAUUUUUAACCUUGAAGUGGUGUCACCAUUACAAAUAGAAAUUACUCGAGUCAAAUGCUUGCUCUGGAAUCACUUUACACUAUCAGCCAGAGUAGUUGCCACAUGUAGCACCUAGAUUACUUGCACGUUACAAAUUGGCUAGGCCUGACAGACAGUCUUAUUAUUGUAAUCCUCAAUGCAGUAUCACUGGUAGGUGGGCUAGGACUGAGACAGUCUUAUUAUUGUUAUGUAUUGUUAUCCUCCAUGCAGUAUCACUGGUAGGUGAAUCAGCUCCUCCGGAAAUGCUUCAGAAGUUGACAUAUCUGGCUAUCAGACACCAUCCUCAAAUUAAGCGUGUUGAUACAGUUCGAGCAUACACCUUUGGGGUGCUUUACUUUGUUGAGGUUAGUGAUUUUAGUUUUGUUCUAAGUGAAAAAGAGUAGUUUGUUACUUUGUCCAAGCUUAUAAUAAAAUGCAGUAACGUCUACAAGAUAAAAUUGAUUUCCUUAAAUCCACAUAAAAUAUUAGGUGUUAAUAUAUUUUUAUACAAACUUGAUCAAAGUUGGAAAAGUUUGACUUGGGACCAAACUAAAACUACCUACAAUUUGGGACGGUAUCUUAUAUUCCUUCAUUUGUCCUAUGCUGGAGGCUAGCCAAGUGAUAGUGUUAUCUUUAUCUGUUCAAAUCCCUACAUGCUAGAACUGGAUAAUAUUGUUGUCUCAACAACUCAAUUUGUCGUUUCGAAAUGUUAAUGUCAUUUUUUGGAACUAGCAGGUUUUAGUUGUCUGCUUUUGACACUACUUGAAAUAAAACCAUUAUCGUUUUGUAAAGUAUCUUAACUUUUUUUGUUCCUGCAGUGAUACUGUAGUGCUUAAUCUAGAAUGGUAGUUUAGCAUGGGUUUGCAAAUGAUUGUCUCUUAUGACCUCACUGUUAUAUAGUAAUAUGUAUAGCAAGUGGUAGUUUAGCAUGGGUUUGCAGAUGAUUGGGAUAGUUGUUUCAGAAACAGAGUAGUGGAGGAAUCUAGCAAUUGGGCAAGAAUCAUGCCUGACUGUUAGAUUGUAUAACAUGCUCAUUUCAUAUGAUCUAUGGACUCUCACAGGUUGACAUCGAGCUCCCAGAGGACUUGCCACUUAAGGAGGCGCAUGCCAUCGGAGAAUCUCUUCAAAUCAAGAUUGAGGAGCUCCCUGAAGUCGAGCGAGCAUUCGUUCACCUUGAUUUCGAGUGUGACCACAAGCCGGAGCAUUCAAUUCUCAGCAAGCUGCCGAGCAGCCAGCCUUGAUCCCAACGCAUCCUGCGUGGUAGAUUGUCGUGCAGAAUCUGCUGCAGUACUUGGCGUCCUGUGGCUGUAUGACAAAAACUAAGAGUUCAGUUAGUUUUGUGGUCGUGAGUUUUAGAUCAGGCUACGAGAGGUGCAGGUUGCCGAAGGCAGAGAUUGUCCUUGUGGUUCUGUUGGUAUGGUCUUCGUUUUGAGUAAAAUUAGGCAUUUUGCUGUUGGCAUCAUGGCAUGUGAUUGGCGGCGAACUAGCUACGAUUGGCAUUUUGUGGUUUUAGACCAAGGGUUGGGAGAAAGAGAGUAGAUCCUGGAUUGCUUUAAGCAAAUUCCAUUUAAUUUUUCUUUUUGUCUGAGACUCAGGAUCCUACUGAAUUUUUUUUCUUCUUUCUGAGGGAAGCACCGCUUGUUCGCUUGGCUGAUAAGUCAUGGCUAAAAGUACUGUUCGUUGAUUUAUUGUGAGAGAAACACUGCUGAAUGACUAGCAAGCUCGGCAGAUAAUUUCAAACGAACAAAUUAGACUGAAAAUCUAAGCUCGAGUUUCCUUCACGUUUCUUAACAUUUGUUCUUUUGUAUGUAAGGCAACGCCAUCCGGCCCAGCACUUUAGUAGUUUGCUCUUUUGUGCCCAGAAUCGAGCCUGCUACUUUCUUUGCGGAAAAUCCUCAGCCCCAUUAAAUCGAAACGGUCCUCUUAUAUGAAAUUAAGAAACAGGAAAGAUCAAAGAAAACAUGCAACAAGCAUCCUCUUCUGAAAACCUAAAAAAAAGAAGAAGAAGCAUCCUCUUCUAAGACACACCGUAGUUCGUAACUAAAAAACUCUGUCAAAUGUGCUUCAAACUUCGUGUUACAGGCUUGCGGUCUUCACCGUAGAAGAAGUACUCCGCAGUAGUUGCGGUAAUGCAUGUCGCCAUGUCGGGACACGCACAUGGGGUCGGCUACGCAUGUGCUAUUGUGUUUACUAGCGAGGACAUGUGUUGCAUCGUAGUACCACACGCGGCGUCCAGAUUUGCGUGCCACUACCACGCUGAUCCUGACUAUCGAUCCUACGUUUGGAGCGUUUGAGCCCUGUCAUCGAUGUCGAUGAUUUCCUCAUUUCCUGUAGCAGUAUUACGAAGUGGGUCAUGGACUCAUGGUUUAGGCCUGCGUGCCUUUCAUUGCGUUGGGCUUGGCCCAUGUACCAUACCUAUGGUUACUCUGCAGUAGUAUGAAAACGGAACGAAAAUAUCCUAAACUGAACCACGUCAUUUUCUAUAUUUAAUUCAAUCGAAUUCGUAUUUUUUUAUCUGACUUUAUCGUUUUCGUUUUUCAUAUUUUAGAUGUUUCGUAUUUCAAAUGUGAAAGUAGAAAACGGUUUAGACAUUUUUUUUUGACCGUUUUCUACUUUUAGUUUGAAAUAUUUUGAAUUCAAAAUUUGAUUUAAACCGAAUUUAGCCAACUGCAACGGUCGCACAGCCCAAUUACAGUCUAUUCAACAUACAGUUGUGUUCUUUCUUCUACUAGUGGUUAGUUGUCUUCUCUUUUGUGGACGACCCAGUUUCAUCUAUUUUGACCUCAUGGGGUGUUGUCCUCUCAAUUCGAGUUCAUAUUUCAAUAACAUUUAAUUUUAGUUCAGAUUCUAAAAUAUUAUAUUAAUUGCUACAUUUAAUUUUAAUUUUUAUUAUCCUGCUAUCUAGACUUAUUUUAGGAGUUUUUCGACCGUCCUUCUACUACCUCCAAACCUUCUGUUUCUCUCCUCUACUCCGUUCUUCUCCAAAGACGGCACCGUCGAUCUCGCCUCGUCAUACGUGUACGCGGUAGUUACCUUCGUGACACCCUGUUGGCUUAAACUUAUCAAACAUAUUUUUUUAAUCACAGUUCUCUUACAAUAAAUUAACAUUAUAUUAUUAACAUGAUGCGGAAACGAUCCGGCGAAAUCUGGCAUCCAGCGCCUUGUCCGGCGGGCCGUGCCGCUAAUGAAAUGGUGUCGUCACCACCGCCCCCUGGUCCUGGUCUUUGGCUGGGCCUGGCCGACAGCACCCCGGUAUCCGCCUGCCGCCACGAUGACGACACGAUGGCUCUCCGUAGAGUUUUCCAUACUCCAGCACGUUUCACCAUCAAGGUCGAGCACCCGCAGCCAAUCACGGGAACUUCAUUCACCCCUGGGCCUUGUUUAGUUCCGAAAAGUGAAAACUUUUCGGAACUGUAGCACUUUCGUUUGUUUGUGACAAAUAUUAUUCAAUUAUAGACUAACUAGGAUAAAAAGAUUCGUCUCGUGAUUUUCAGCUAAACUGUGUAAUUAGUUUUUGUUUUCGUCUAUAUUUAAUGUUUCAUGCAUGUGCCACAAGAUUCGAUGUGACGGGAAAUCUUGAAAACUUUUUGGUUUUCAGGGUGAACUAAACAAGGCCCUGGUUUGGAACAGCACAACGAGAGAGAACGCUGCGUGCGCGGACGGGAUUGCCCAAGAAGCUCGUUCGUGAAGCUUCCUGAUCGAACCUCGAACGCGACGGAACGGGCCGGGGGGGCAUCUGGUCCUACUCGCCAGUUGCCACGGUCAUGCAAACACUGCAGGUGGGACCCAGGUGACAGCAUGGUCCGUCCCCACAGCACGUACCGCCAAUUUUCCAGAAAAGGCUGACCUCCCUUCCCGCCGCCGCCCCUCAACGCUUCGCUACUGUUGUGGUUGUCGGGGCCGCUCCCUCCCCUUCUUUUUCGCUUGCAGCUACUAGCAGGAGUCCUUGUUAACUUUUCUUUUUUUACCCAUAAGGCCUUUGUUUAAGUUGGAGAAUGGAAAAUAGUUGUAUGUCAAAUCGGAUAUUUCGUAGGAUAUUGAAAGGAGUGUUCGGAUACUAAGGCCUUGUUUAGUUGGCAAAAUUUUGGGUUUUUGGCUACUGUAGCACUUUCGUUUUUAUUUGACAAACAUUGUCCAAUUAUGGAGUAACUAGGCUUAAAAGAUUCAUCUCACAAAUUACAGGUAAACUGUGCAAUUAGUUUUUAUUUUCGUCUAUAUUUAAAGCUCCAUGCAUGCGACCAAAGAUUCGAUGUGACGGGGAAUCUUGAAAAUUUUUGCGAACUAAACAAGGCCUAAUAAGAAAUCAAUUACAUAACUCAUCUAAAAACUACGAGAUAAAUUUAUUAAGUCUAAUUAAUCCAUCAUUAGUGUAUGUAGGUUAUCGUACCUCUUAAGACUAAUUAUGGACUGACUAAGCUUAAAAGGUUUGUCUCGUGAUUUCUAACCAAACUGUGUAAUUAGUAUAUUUUUUAUUUAUAUUUAAUACUCCGUUUAAAUAUUUGAUGAGAUAAGUGAAAACUUUUUGAGUGGAGAACUAAACAAGGCCUAAGUGCCUCCAAAACAUGGGAAAGCGGACUUCAAAUGCGAAAAGCAAAUCUCGUACGCUGAUGAAACGAGAAAGCGUGUAUUUGCGCAUUUUUCCUGUACUCAGAUAAUCAGGCAACAAAACUCGUGGUACCAUUAAUUAAAUUUUAUAGUAUGUUGCAAACAUUGAAGAUCACGCCGUCCCGAGAGAUUGUGCUAGGUUAGCACUUUUAUUGCUUCUCUGGUUGUUAUUAUUGUAAAUUGCAUAGAGCUCAACCGAUUUCAUUAAAAACAAAUAGGAGUGGUAAAUAAACUACAACUGCCCGGAGAUGUGAUCGCUUCAUAUUUGAUGACAAGAUUGGCCCCAUGCCACACAAAAGUUGCUCGAUCUAGAGGCGCCAUCACAACUUUGCAUCUAAAUCCUUUUUAUUGGUCCUCCACUAUUAAUGCUGUGAAGCUUGCCACCGUGUUAUGCCAAUGUACAUCAUUUUCACACGUAUUCCGGGUGGAGAUUUUAUUCCUCAAGAUAUUUUUGCUCAUUAGUCUAGCUAGCCUUCAUAUUUUAUCUUAAUUAAAACAAGUUUUUCAAGGCUAAAGCAUAAAGUCAUCGCUUCAAACCACUUGCAAAAAAAAAAAAGAAAAAGAAAACUCAUUUGGAAGCCGACAUACUGUGACAAUAGUGACCAGAAAAUUCAUUAUCAUACUGUAAAAUUUUCAGGAAAAUUCAUUGUGCUAUAUUGCUAUAGCUCACGUGCCAUGCCAACCAUACCAUUUCUUCAUCGAAGGCGACAACAUGGGAAAAAGGCCACAGUUAGUAAAGCUGCAGGUCGCGCUUUAUUCCGGUACAAAAGUGACCAUGCGUGUAAAUCUUUCCCGCUAAAGUUCGGCUGUCAGACGCUGCUAGUGAUGAGCAGUAAGCUGCAAGCCUACAAGGUCCUAAAGUCACAAAAAAAAACCUACAAGGUCCUAAAACUAGGAGGGUAACAAUUUUAUCCUUGUACAAGGUUCUAAACAUAAAACACACCCCGUGUAAAAUUUUUGACGCCAGAUCGUCAGCCGUGCGCCGCAGCUCGAAAUUUACCUUGCGACCCCUGUAAAAAUGCCGGCACCUCACUAGAACCCACCCGUCGCCAGGCCAGAGACCGCCACCGCGAACUUGAAAACGCGCUGUUCCGAGCCCGCUAACCGCGACGGUUAAAAACGCGUACGGCGUCGUCGCGUUCCCUCCUCCCCCAGUCCCCCCCAUCUCGUCUCCGUCCCCCCCCUCCGCCUCGCUAUCCUCCUCGCCUUUUACCCCGCAUCGCGUCGCCUCGCCUCGCCGCCUCCCUCCUGUUCAUCGCGUUGAAACCCUCUCGGUCACCGCCGCGGUCGAUCCGACCCGGCAGCAGCUCAGGGGACCCUUCGCCGCAGCAUCCCCCGAGGGCCGUUGGCGGGAGGAGCCGUCGUCGUCGUAUUCGGUGGCGGGAAUUGGAUGCGCCACGGAGCGGGCGACAGGACCUAGCUGAGUUGAAUACGGCGGCGACGGGAGGACGUGAUGCCGGGGGUGGCGUCCGCAGCGGGAUCGGGGAUCUGGUCGCGCCGGCGGGACGAGAUCACGUUCGAUCGCCUUCAGAAGGUACCGUCGCGUGCCCUCUGCUUCGGUCGUAUCCUGAGCUCGAUCUGGGUGAUGGGAAUUAGGGGCAGGUCCGUCCUGCUGCGCUGGCGUAACUUCUGGGACGAAGCUGGUGCCCUGCCCCCUCAGCCUGGCUUGAUUGGUUCUCUCAGCUCCUGAGUCGCGAAAAGCUGCAUGUGCAUGUUGGUUUGGGGACUGGAUGGAAGGGAAUUAUUUGCUGGCCUCGGGAUUUAUUUAUUUGUUUGAUGAGUCGAGGAUUCAUUUGUGCGGCAAAUUCUGUUAGUGGAGUUCAAUCAGGUUACGCUUGUUGCUGCUUCUGAUAAGCGUACGGGGUAAUUUUGACCUUUUGUAGCAGCUCAUUUGUACUGUCUCUGCGUUAAUUCUAGUGCAUUGCCCUUAAGAUAUGGCGAGUCAGUGACGGUAUAGCUGCACUUUUGAUUCGUACCUCAAUGUUGUGGUAGUGGGGGAGUGCUAGCCUGCUAGGUUGGAGUUCCCAUUCUGCUCUGUAUGAAAUUUGACUAGCUUUUGCUGUUUUGGUUAGAUGGGUUUUGUUUCAAACAAUUCAGGCACUUGAUUUGAGAAGUGAGGGUUUAAAAGUCUGUCCUGAUGUUUAAUUUUAGUGGCCUGAAAAACUUUUGCUCUGGCAUCUGGCAAUAAUGUCUGCCAAAUGUCACUGGUGCCUGGUAGGAACACUGCUUAAGAAAACAAACUGCCAUGGGAAGUUAGGAAUGUAAACUGUAGCCCCAAAGAGGAAUGCAUAAUUCAAAAACUUUUAUCAAGUUGCUAUCAAAUGAAAUCAUCAGGUUGUGAUGAGUCUUUGUUAAUUUCAACGAAACUGUGAAGUCUUCACUCUUAAAUCUUAGCACUUCAUACUGGACAAAACUGGUGAUUGCACUCAAAUAUUAAAACAUGCUUUCGUCUAUUCCAUUUUGGUAUUGUCACAUGUUCUGUAAUCGUUUUCAAGGUUUAUGCCAUUUCUUCUAUGAUGACUUUAUGUUUGAAUUACAGCAGCCUUGCAUCACCAUCACCUUUAUUUGAGUUUGUGAAUGUAACAUUGCGCUCUUGAAUAGGUUAUUCUGUAAGGUUGGUUCUUGUCAAGCUGUUUCUGUCAUCGAGUUCAUUCUACUAGAUAUUCUUUUCAGCAACUAAGUUCUCAAUUGAGGAACUGACUACUUUAUGGCUGUGAAUUGAUCUUUUUUUUUCAGUUCUGGAAUGACUUGCCUGCUCAAGCACGGCAGGAACUCCUCAAAUUGGAUAAGCAAACUCUCAUUGAACAAGCACGGAAGAAUUUCUACUGCUCAAGGUGCAAUGGGUUGCUUCUGGAUAGUUUUGCACAAAUUGUUAUCUAUGGGAAGUCACUGCAGCAAGAAGUCACUUCAGAUAUUGGUUGUCUGAGGACAGCUACUGAGUCAAGAAUUACACAAGGAGAGCAAGAUGGGGCUCAGGACCCAUCAGUUCACCCCUGGGGAGGCCUUUCAACCACAAAAGAUGGUGUCCUUACACUUCUUGACUGCUUUAUAAAAGCGAAAUCAUUACGGGUGCUUCAGAAUGUAAGUGUGCGGUAACUUGGGCUUCUUAUUUUCUGUCUGUGCUCUAUUGAUGAUUAUAUGAUUGUGAAGUAAUUUCCUAUUUUUUAUAUUGGUCCUUUGUGUUACUUUAUGUGAAGUAAUCAGUAAAUAUGAUCAUGGUGCUUACUCUGAAGUUUUAGUUCUAGGUCGGUCAUUUAACCCUCUAGUAGCCUAAUGCAUUUUGGCCUUCGAAUUUAAUCAGGUAUUUGACAAUGCACGGGCAAGAGAAAGGGAACGGGAAAUGCUUUAUCCUGAUGCCUGUGGUGCAGGUGGCAGAGGAUGGAUUAGCCAAGGGAUGGCUAAUUAUAGGGGUCAUGGAAUGAGAGAAAUGUGUGCUCUACACACUGCCCACCUCUCAUGUGAUACACUGGUGGAUUUCUGGUCAGCACUUGGUGAAGAAACUAGAUCAUCUCUUCUGCGGAUGAAGGAGGAAGAUUUCAUUGAAAAACUUAUGUACAGGUGAGCAUAGGCAUUCGGAUUACCAACAAAAAGUAAUCAAGCUAAACUAGUGAGUUAAUAACAACCUGAAUGUUUGUGUCCAACAAAAUGCAAGCCUUCUAUAGAAGGAACCUUGCAAGUACUCGUAAGCUGCUCUGAGCCUCACUGAAGAUUGAUUGGAAUUUUAUAUAUGCACUGUGAUCGGAAGUGCUACUUCCUGCUGCUGCUUUUCCGCUUCCAGAUUUUCUUGCUAUUGGUGCUGGCUGGCUGGUGUUUUUGCAGGUGCAAUCUCAACUGAUCAGAGUGAUUAAUGCUUGAAUAGUAGUAUAUGCCAUUUUUUUUACGUUGCUGAUUGGUUCUGUCUUGUUCUGUUGGGCCUUCAAGUAACUUUUUUCCUAGUAGUCCUAGUCUUGUAUCUGCUGGGAUUUCUCUAGCAACAGCCUAUAGAUCAGGUUAAAAUUCAAACAGUUUGGUGGAAAUUUGUGAACAGGUUUGAUAGCAAGAGAUUUUGCCGAGAGUGUCGAAGGAAUGUUAUCCGUGAAUUCAAAGAGCUGAAGGAACUGAAGCGCAUGCGAAGGGAGCCUCGCUGCACCAGUUGGUUUUGUGUUGCAGAUACUGCUUUUCAGUGUGAGGUGAGGAUGCCUUCCUAAAACCCACCUCACCAACAAAAUUUCCAUUUGAUUGCUUGGUACCUUAUGUAUACUUCUUAUGUGAGUCAAAUCUGGCUGCUUUGAUUUUCAGGUGUUUGAGGAUGCUGUUGUAGUUGAUUGGCGCCAGUGCUUAUCUGAGCCAUAUGAAUCUUAUGAUCACUUUGAAUGGGCUAUUGGGACAGAUGAAGGAGAAUCUGAUAUUUUUGGCUUUGAAAAUGUUGGAAUGAAUGCACAAGUCCACAGAAAUGGAAUCGAUCUUGAUCAGUUUGAGGACUACUUCAUAACGCUGCGAGCUUGGAGGCUUGAUGGCCAGUGCACAGAGAUGUGUGUAAAAGCACAUGCAUUGAAGGGUCAAUCAUGUGUCCACCACAGGCUAGUGGUGGGUGAUGGCUUUGUGACUAUGACAAAGGGCGAAAGUAUUAGAAGUUUCUUUGAGCAUGCUGAAGAGGCCGGGGAAGAGGAUGUACGUCACUUGCCAUUUAUGGCAACAUCUUUAACUGAGAUAAACGUAAAUAGGGCAUUCAUUGUUGGUGUUAAAAGAUAUUAUUCUGAUCGAUGAAAAUGUAUGCAGGAAGAUGAUGCCAUGGAAAGGGAUGGAAAUGAUUUUGAUGGUGAUGGUGCCCAUCCACAGAAACAUGCCAAGAGCCCUGAACUGGCAAGAGAAUUUCUUUUGGAUGCUGCUGCUGUAAUAUUCAAAGAACAGGUACUAACCAAAAAAAUUACUGGAAUAAUUGGAAAUCAAUAUUUGAUAUAAUGGUUUCAACUUUCAACUCAAACGAAGUAAAACUACUUGAUUUUUUUUCUAUAUUUCUAACUGAUUAAGAUGACUUAGCUAGCUGUAUAUUCAAGCUCACAUCCUCUAGUUGGACCAGUUCACUAACCAGCUCACAACUAAUGUGACUAGUAAGAAAGUCUAUCGACUUAUCAGUUUCCGUGGUUCCUGUGUGAAGACUUCUAUAAGUGUGCCACCUGAUUUAGUAAUGUUUAAAUAAUUAUUAGUUGUUUGUCUUAGCAUAUUUUUUUCUGGCAUCAUUCCUUAUUUACCAAUGGAAGAUUGUAUUUGGGAUUGACACCUUGAAUAUUUUUUGUAUUCUUCAUCUACUAUCGGGCAGCAAGGUUGAUUGUAACUUCAGUACCUAUAAAAGAUUCAUGGCUAAUAUAGUUUCUAGUCUCUGCAUUAUGUGGCUUUCAGACAUGGUUGUUUAUUGAGUAUGUACUGUAGUUAACAGCAUCUGACCAUUACCUGUUUAGAUUUCUCAGAAAUUCAAGCAUUAAGUAUAAAUGUGGAUAUCUUUGCAGGUUGAGAAGGCCUUCAGGGAAGGUACAGCACAGCAAAAUGCACAUAGUGUUUUUGUGUCCCUUGCUUUAAAACUUUUGGAACAGCGGGUUCAUGUAGCAUGCAAAGAAAUCAUUACCUUGGAAAAACAGGUGCUUAUUAUACCUCUAGAUAAAAUUCAGAUAAGGUUAACUUGCUCAUAUUUGUGAACAUCAACUGUGGCUGCAUUUAUUGCAGAACAAACUUCUUGAGGAAGAGGAGAAAGAAAAGCGUGAAGAACAAGAGCGCAGGAUGAAGAGGAGAACAAGAGAAAGAGAAAAGAAGAACAGGAGAAAAGAAAGGCUGAAAGAAAAGGACAAUAAUAAAGGGAAAAGACUAGUUGAAUCAAAGUCACCAGACGAUGUUUCAUCUUCAGCUCCAAGCAACUCCUCAACAUCUAUCAAUGAUUAUUCGACAAAUACUCUGGACUUGAGAGAUUCAGCUACGGAAGAGGAAGAUAGUGCUGAAGUUGUGAAUCCGUGCUCUCCUGACAGCUAUGUGAAUCAAUCUUCAUGUACAGAAAUUAAUGGAGAAGACAGUGUCCAGUGCAAUGCAGUUACAGAAUUUUCUCCCAUGGACAGCAGUGACCUUUGCACAUCAGAUCAAUCCAAGUCUUUGAGACGAAGUCCAAGGUCAAGAGAGGAUUUUCCUCGAGAUCAGUCCUGUUGGUAUGAUGACUGCCAAGAUGAAUCUGGAAGAAUUGGUGAAUCACAAUGGAAGUCAAGGGAAAGGACAAAAGGUAUUGAUAGAAGUUGCAACGCAGCAUCCACCUCAAAUAACAGAACAAGAGAGAGGCACUCAUACAAUUCUUGCAGCUGUGGCCAUCCGGAAGACUCUGGAGUUAUGGACAGCUGUUUCUUGCCAAUAGCUAGAUCUGGCAGAGAGAUGAAGAUAGCAAGAAAAUCAGGAGUUGAGAAACCUAGGUUGCAGUACCACCGAUGCUAUACAUUGGAUAACUUUAUAGUGUCAAAAGGAAACCGUGCUGGUUGUACACAGAAAAAUGCUAUCCCAAAGCAAGUAUGGGAGCCUAUGGAUGCUCGAAGGAAGACUAACUUACACAACACAGUUCAUGAUUCAGGUUCAAUAAACAAUGUUGAUCCACUGAAACAUGUGGUUUUUGAUAACAGCAGAUCUCAAAAGUUCGGCGUAGGAUGUGAAUCACAGCCUCAGGCUUCUGAAAGUACCAGGGAUGUUUGUGAUUCAGAUCAACCAUGUGCAAAUGGUGGGACAAAUCAAACUACUUCCUGUGAUAGUACUCCUAUGGUGAAUAAACCAAAUUGUUACUCAGAAAACGAUGAAGGCUCCAGGCAUGAUGAAGAGCUGAUGACGAACUCUGCUGGUUCUGAUAGCUCCUCUUCAUGCAUGAGCGAGGGAGAUAGGGAAAGCAGCUCCAGCAGUACAACCUCUUCGAGCACUCAAAAUCCGGAAUCGUCUUCUGAGUCUGAGGAAUCACCCAAGAGAAUAAACAGCAAAGUAGGCACACCAUCAUCAAGAGCUGCUUCACGGUCUUUGUUUGAAGCAUGUGCAGGAAAUGGUUUCAGAGAAUACCAGCCAAAAGCCACCCGCCCAGCACACAAUGACAUGUUUGGGUACAAUGUAUCCCCUGUCCAGGACCAGCUGCUGCAUUACCAAGGCAUGCAUGCACCUCAACGUCCGCCAAUAACAAUGGGGUUUCAUGACCGUCCUUGGGCUGCACCAACGAAUGGAAACUUCCAGUAUGCUCGACCAUCCCACCUAUAUUCUAGUCCGCUCGUAUUCGGAAUACCUGGGAAUCAUUUUAUUGAUUAUCCUUACAUGGCUCCUGCCUUCAGCCAUAUACCUCCAGAGCCUAUUCACAAGGCCUCAGCCAGCUUUAGAGCCAUGCCUCUGUCACCGCCUUUUCAAAAUGGACAUCGGCAGGUUGCUGGUCAUACUCAGAGAGACAUGAAUCUAGAGAGGCACCAUUCAAAGUUGACUAUGCCAACAGGCAUGGAUCCCCCAGAAGACAAGAACAAGUCGGGUCUAAAAGAUCUCUCAGAAGACAAGAACAAACCAUGGAAUGCGGAUGCAUCCUUCUCUCUGUUCCAAUUCAACUUGCCAAUAGCUUCGCCUGUAACACCGUCAUCGAAAGAUAAGAGCGAAGAGCUGGCUGCAAGAACACCACUGGUUCAGGUUCAAGCUCAGCAUUGCUCGAGGGAACAGGCAGAUGUGAAGGAGUAUAACCUGUUCUCCUCGAAAGAUAAUGGUAUAUUUUCGUUUAUGUAGAUAAAAGAAAAACUGUGACAAACCUGCUACCCUUCGUUUCUGCUGGCUCUUGCUGCACUUCGUGAAUGAUUUGUGUUCUCCGAAGAAAAAUAAAGGAUGUUGGUAUUUUCUUCUUGGUGUCUGUAUCUUCGUUUACAUUUAUGUUUGUUACCGUGUGUGCUAAAAGCUAGCUAAUCCGCAAUGCUGCUGAAUCUUGGAUUCUUUUAUAUAGAAUACGUAGAUAUGUAUUGAUUGGUUCAUGGUUCGCUCCUAACAAGUAACAACUGAGAACAUGUUAACCGGGAAAUGAAAGGUCCUGUUUGGUUCCCAUCAAAUUUUAAAAUUGCAUAUCUUUGGCCAUCUACUAUCAAAAUCAAACAACUUUACCCAUAAGGCUGGUUUCAACAGCGUUUUGCGCAUAUAUGUUUUUCUUGAAAAUAAGAUAUAAUUAAGUAUCUAAAAGUUCAAAACAGAUCCAUUUUUAAAUAAAAAACAGUAAACCACUACCAAAAUUUUCUAAAAAUACAAUCUAUAUAAGAGGGUUUUAUUUAGAGUUAUUUGGAUCUUACUAGUCGUUUUUUGUUUAAGUUAUCACUUUGAGCUAUAUUAAACCAGUAGCUCAACCAAAAGGAUCCAAUGGAUUCAGGGUAUAGAGAUCUCAAAAGUAACACCAAGAAACCUCAUAGACGUCAUGCUCCACGUAUUGAUCCUAUCUAGGAUUCAUGCCUAAUGAUUUAUUGUAUUUUGAUAGAUGAGUAAGUAAUAAAUAAACCAGUGACUUAAACAUCAUGCAAUGCAAAAAGAAUAGUUUAAAUAAAGAAUAGUCAUGACUACUAGCAAUAAAACACUAGCAAACAAAGUAAGAUAAAAAAAACUCUAAAUAGAGUACACUCCCUCCCACGUCCGACCACAAAAGAAUGUCAUUCUAGCACAUAGUAUCACUUCAUCCACAAAAGAGCGUCAUUCUAGCACAAUAUCACUCUCUGUCCACCAAAGAACGCAAUUCUACAGAUUACCAAGUUAAAGUAGCUUGAGUUUAACUCACUACAAAUAAAAAAAAUAAUAUUUAUAAAUAAGUAUUAUUAGAUUUGUCAUGAGACAUCUAUAUUUAUUUAGAUUUGACAUCAGACUUUAGACACAUUAACCAAGAAUUGCAUUCUAAAAAAUAUAAGCAUUAUUAAAUUUUUCAUGAGAUAUAUUUCAUACUAUAUUUAUUUAGUGUCAUAAAUAUUAAUAUUUUUACCUAUAUGUUUGGUUAAACUUUAGACAAAUUAACCAGAAUUAUAUUCUUUUAUUGACAGAAAAUAAAUAGAUAAAUUGUAUUUUUUUAGAAAAAACUUUGGUGCUAACUUCAUAAUAUAUUUUAAUUAAAAUGAAUUAGUCAUGUGUUUUAAUGAUAGAGCCAUAUUUUUAUUAUUUUAGAAAAAUGCAUAUAUAUAUAUAGACAAAUAACAAGUCAAGGGCCAAAGUUGUCUGGUUUUGAUAGCUCAAUGGCCAAAGAUUUAAGAGUUCGGUGGCCAAAAGUUGACUUUCUCCUUAAUAUAGAACACUAAGAAUCAAUAUUCGAACUUUACGAAUGUCAUACUAUUAUAAUAACCAUGAGAUGCCUGGGUGAUUCAUCAAACCAAUUGGACGUCGCGCCACAUGUUUAAACAAGCCCACCAAAGAGAGAUACAUACGACACUCCCACAAACCAUGCCCGUCAACCCACAGGCAGUCACAAUUUGCUUUACAAAUAUUGCAAAAAAAUCAUCCUUGAAAUUGCAAAACAGCAAGGUAAAAGCUAGGCUCGUCAACGAACUCUGUUAGUUCAUACUUGUUCCCAGAUGCAGCCUUCUCCAGGAAGGCUUUACUGGGCAAAUCAGAAGUUACAACAUCAGGAUGCUCUCUCCGUUGUUGCUCAAAAUUCUGUCUGCCUUGAUCUAAGAACAUGACAACUCUUGCUCCUGGGGAAAAAAAUUAUUAAAUCAAGUUCUAAAACUGAAACAAAAAAAUUUGCAUGUGUAACAAAAAACAAUAAUAUGAUGCACUCACACAGGAAAAUCUCAAGUUUCAAACUUAAACAUGUCUUGUAUUUUCUCUAUAGGCGCAGCAAGGCUAAUGAGAGUUGACAGGCUUGAUAUCUGUUAGGCAAGGCUUAGGCUCAAUUUGUUUCGGGUAGAAAUUUUGGAAAGCAGCUUGUGGAUUGUAGAUUGUGAAAAGCUAAAGGUCCAAAAGCUGGUUGCUGUUUAGGAACCUGGAUUCCUGGUGGGUUGGAUUGUUGGGUUUGGAUGUCAAAACUCUACACUGCCUCAGCUAUUUUGGGUGCCCUAUUUACCACUUUGUGACUCGUUUGCAGCUCAUUUAGAUUUUUUGUCCCUACAAUAUCCUAGCACACACCAUCUGUUUUCUCAUAGCAAAUGAAGCAUUGAUAAGUUAUCAUAUAGCUCCCUCUUCAUCUCCCAAUCCACCAUUGCAUGCCACCAUUCACUUGAAAUGGAUAUGCUUUUGGUAUUGGCAUAGUUUUAAUCCUGAUCACACAUAUCGAAGUAUUGAUCAUUCAUAGCACUAUCUCGAAUGAACUUAUAAAGAGUAAUGCAUGCUAAUGUUAUAUUAGCAGCCUGCUACCAGUCCUUAAAACUAACCUCACAACUCAAAGGAACAGAACAUAUCAGAACGCCCUUGUAUGCAUAAUCACAACCAUAAAUAUGUUCCAUGAAUUGCAUCACUGUUGUUCAAUUAAACUAAAAUAACAAAGCCAAAUUAGCUAUCCAAAUCAUUUGUGCAUAAAAUGUAUGACAUUAUCCAACCUUAUCAAUCAAUGUCUCAACUCUCAACCCCACCAAUUAGCCAUCUCAAAUGGUUUAGCUAUGGUUUAGAAAAAGCAAUGCACAGCGUAAUAAGCCGCAUCCUUCUAACCACCUCAGGCUCACUACACUGAAGUCUGAAACAACAAAGCUAAGAAAGGAUAAGGUGACAUUUCAACAUGUCUCACCUUUGGAGCACCUCUUGGCCAGCGAUUUGAGGAGCGCCGCGGCGGAGACUCCCAUUCCAGGGAAGUAGCACACGAACACGACAUCGAAGUCGUCGAACCUCUCCGGCACGGCCUCCACCACGCCGCCGCCCCUGCCCCCACCCCCGCCCUCCAGGUGGAAGCACCUCGCCUCGUCGUGCGCCUCCUUGACCCCCGCCAGCACGUACAUGGACUCGUGCGCGGCCACCAGUAGCUCGCAGGGCGAGGACGCGAGGAGCGAGCUCACGAAGGACACCGUGGGCGUCAAGGCCAACACCCGCGACGCCGGCGAGAGCGCCCCCGCGGCGAGCGCGCGCUGGAGGUUUGCGCCCGCGGACUCGAGGAACGACCAGUCCUUCUCCACGAUGUCAGCGACGGCGACGUCGUCGGGCGCCGCAGCGAGGCGGGGCUUCGCGGUCGCCGGGGUGAGGGUUAGGCUGAGGCGGAGGGGUUUAUGGGGUUUUGCGUUCGGUGGUUGCGGCUGGGACUGGGGUUGGAACCGGAUUCUGGGAGUUGGGCGGUGGUGAGAGGAGAAGCCAAGGGAAAGGGAGGUGGAGGCGGCGGCCAUGGGGCCGUGGUAGGCGGUGGCGUCACGAGGAUAGAGGUGGAAGGAAGGAGUUGCGGACGGACCUGGUCACCUGUGCGGGGGACUAAAGUUUAUUUUGCCCUUAAGAGCGAGUGUCGCAUGACAAAAUUUAUAGAAUAAAGAUUUUUUUAAAAGUAUUUAAUUACUUGACCCUAACUCAAACAUUAAGAAUAUAAAUUAUCACUAAAAUUUUAAAUUAUUAAAUUUACAAAUAUAAAAAAUAUAUAAAUAGAUUUAUGCCCUUAAGAGCGAGCGUCGCGGAUAAAAUUUAUGGAAGUAAAGAUUUUUUUAGGUGUUUGGUUGCCCGACUCUAAUUCAAACAUUAAGAAUAUAAAUUAUCAAUAAAAUUUUAAAUUAUUGAGUUUACCAAUAUAAAAAAUAUAUAAAUAGAUUUAUCUUGAAAAAUAUUUUUAUAAAAAUAUGCAUAUAUCAUUUUUUUCUAAAGAUUUUUAUAAAAAUAAAAGGUUAAAGUUGUGAUUUAAAAACUGUGUCUUUGUCUUAAACGACUUAUAAAUCCUAUAUGAAGAGAGUAGUUUUGUGAAUUAUUUAUGUAUAUUCUAUAUUUGAUUUGUUUGAUGUACCAAAACAUUAUUGUAUUGUGGUAUGUUUCUAUAACGACAUGCUUAGUGUCCCAUGACUAUUUUGUUGUUUAGCUAGUGCCGGUGUGAUGCUCUUCAUUAAAAUAUGCAUAGUUCAAAAAAUUCAUUGUUGUUGGCCUUAACUCUAUAUAGAAGAUAGUAAAUACAAAAACAUAUAUAUUAUUUUCAUAGAUAUUAUAAUACUAUUGCAUUUUAGCAUAUAAUUUGUUCUCUUAAAUUUGAAAUAUUGUUAUUAUGAACCAAGAAUAUUUUUCUUGUGAAGACAGAAGAUUGUUUGUUGAACCUAGAACAUCGUCUUUACUUAACAAAGAAAAUGUUAUCUCUUCAUGAGAUAAAUAUUCGAUAACAAUUUUUUUCCUAAAUAUUAUAUCAAAUGUAUAAUCCAAAUUUAAUUUGAAUGUUUAAUUUUUGAACUAUAGAUUUUUAAAAUUUAUAGCGAAUCAUGACAUCAUCAUCAUGCUAUUUUAGCAUGCAUGUACUUGUACGGCCGAUGUGAAGUGAGACGAGAGGUGGAGCUGAGAAACAAGCCGCCUAGCUUUUACGAUGUAGCAUCUCCAACACUUGACAAAUGACUACCUCAUCCAUAAUAUUUUUUAGCAAAAUGAUAAAAAAGACCUCUUUUCAACAGUUUGGUAUCUUAAUUUCUAUUUUUUUAAAAUUUGACAUAUCUUCCGAUCUAGCACGCAAAUAUAUGCGCAGUCCCUGUAUUUGACAUUAGUCUUUCUUCUCAUACUUAGCGAGACUCCUCAUUCCACUGAGAACAAAAAUUACUGGCGCUUUGCUAGCUCCGACCGCCCGGCCCAUGACACGUCCCGGAUCAUAUGUGCCAUUAGAUUAGAUAGGAAAUGGACGGUUGAGAAAGAUUUAUUGGCACGGUAAAAGAGCUCGAACAGGGUGAUGACCAGAUGGCGGCCCUGUGUGUUUUGACGAUGUGAUGCAAAUUGUAGUCAUUCUCAUCGCUUCAACUUUGGAGGCACUGAUGAUGAACACACAAAUUUACAAAUCUCCCUUUUUAUCUGAAAUUACAUUUGUGCAGCAUUUACAUGACACACAGUUUGCUCUUCUCUGCAAUCGAGAAGAUCAUAAGCAAAAAAACAAUAUUGCACAUGCAUAUAUUUUACUUCUGUAGGGGAAAACAAAAUGACGAUGGCGCUGGUGGUUAGUUGUUCAAAAAGAUGCAUGGAUGCAUCGGAGGUGAUCCUUUUCCACGAAGGCAAGAGAUCGAUGACAUGUGCGAGGUUGAACAUUUGGUUGAUCGUUCGGACCAGCGAACAGGCUUUUAGUUUAUCAGUAUAUAUAAAUACACAACGAGAGAGGGAUUGCAUUUCAGUUGAUGAGAUAUUGCACAUCAGCACAUGGCAAGAUGUCGACGUGUCAGCAAUAGCAAUAGCAUUUGCAUUGCUUCACUUAACUAGAAGAUGAAAACCAGCUGUCAUUAACGCCGCAAACCAAUUAGUGCCAAACUACUUUGUUCAUACAAAUCAUAGGACUCCAUGAGAACCAUAGACUACAUAAACCAUCAAGGCUACCUAGGAAGUAGGUAGGCCAACAAUUGACACGACAGUGGACGCGAUCUAUGGUGAUUAGCAGACUGAUUAUUAGCACGUAUACUCCAGUAUACUAUUGGAUGAUAGAUGUGCAUGCAUGCGAUAGCAUGAUCGCACUACAGGAAACGGGAGCUUUGCCGAGAGUCCAGCUUUGCCGAGAGCUAGCUCUCGGCAAAGACUGCCUUUGCCGACAGCCAAAUAGAACCCUCGGCAAAGAGCCUUUACCGACGGCUUAGCUCUCGGCAAAGCCACGCCCUCGGCAAAGGCCAGCUUUGCCGAGAGCCUAGCGCUCGGCAAAGAUAGGCUCUCGGCAAAGGAGCCGCGCCAUGAAAGGACAUCCGUUGUCGUCACCUUUGCCGAGAGCCACGCCGUUAGGCUCUCGGCAAAGAGCUCCUUUGCCGAGGGCCUAAAUUAGCCCUCUGCAAAGAGGAAAGUUUUUUUUUUAAUUUUUAGACCCAAAUUUUUUCUGUAGCCUUUGCAUAUUGUAUACAAGCACAUGUUCAAAUUUAGGAGCUUUUUAUAACAUUUUGCUAUAUUUCACCAAUUAAUUUAUUUUCUUUGCAUUUUUUCGAAAAAGUAAAAUUGAACUGCAGGUUCAUGAAAUAAUAAAAUAUAGCCAUUCGAAAAAUGAUACUCAUGUUUGAGAGUGCAUUUUGAGACUAUAUCCAUAAACUCACCCAAAAGUUUGAAUGUCUUAUAUACGAAACAUAACCAUCCAUGUGUCGUAGAUGUGAUUUUUAAUUAUAUAAAUUCCAAAUGAACUUCAAAAAUCACAAAACUUGGGGACAUGUCUUGUUAUCGCAUGUGGAGGCUGUGGUAAAAAACUCAUAAGGUUUCGAGCAAGUUGCGACUCUAAAUGUCUAAAAUCCAAACAUCUCCGCAUGUGAUCAUAUUUGAUCACCUAUGGAGAAGUCUAGGUUUUAGACAUUCGGUGCCGCACCUUACUCGAAAUCUUAUGAAUUUUUUACCACAGCCUCCACAUGUGAUAACACGACACAUCGCCAAGUUUCGUGAUUUUUGGACUUCAUUUGGAAUUUAUAUAAUUAAAAAUCACUUUUCUCUCACAUUCCUCAACAUGUUACGUCAGCGAGAGGGUUGAGAUUUCACGUGUAGCUAUGGAUACGACCUCAACAUACACCGAAUAUCUUGACUAUCAUUUUUGGAAUCAUUGAGUUCCAAUAUUCUAUGUACCUGCAGUUCAAAUUUGAAUUAUGUGAAAAAAUUAAAGAAACAAGAUUAAUUAGUUAAAUAUAGCAAAAAAAGUCAAAUUGAUGCAAAAUUUUGAAAUGUAUUCAGAAAUUGGGUCACAAGAACAAAAAAAAAACUUAGGUCUAAAAUAAAAAAGAAUAAAAAAGUCAAACACCUCUUUGCCGAGAGCCUGCCCAUAUGGCGCUCGGCAAAGGUUCUUUGCCGAGAGUCGGACUGGCUGGCUCUCGGCAAAGGAUGUUUAUAGGAAAAAAACUAGCCUAUUUCUUUGCCGAGAGCCUGUUUGUGUGGCUCUCGGCAAAGGGUAUUUCCAAAAAAAAUAUCUGCUUUAUCCCCACCCGGCCCCUCGCGCGCCCAACCCUAACCCGUUGCCGCCCGCACACACACGCCCAACCCGCCGCCGCCAGCGCCCCGCCGCCGCUGGACGCUGUGCACCGCCGCCGCCGACCAGAUCCGCCGCCGGCGGCCCACACCGUCCCCGCCCCUCCCCGGCCCCGUGCGCCGUCGCCGCCUCCCCGCACCCCGCACGGCCGCCGUGGCCCUGCACCGCCGCUGCGGCCCCGCACUGGAAUCCGCUUAUGGGAUCUAACUCUUGCCUAGCUGAUCUAUUCUCUUAGGUACUACAUAUUAUGUAGAUUUAUUUAAUAAAAUUAUGCCCAGCGAAAUGAAACUCUUGCCUACCUGAUCUAACUUGAGUAUAUGUACUAAGAUUCGUGCCAAUUACAGUGUUUGCACAAGUAUCAGAUUGUCUAUUCUAAGAUUGGUGCCAUUCGCAAUGAAACACUAAAUAGAUUAUAUAUACUAGAUUUUUUUUUCUGUCCUCAUGCAUUUUUAUCUGCUGCCAAUGAAAAUAUAGUGCUGCUAUUUCUUACUAUAAUAACUGAGCAGCAUCGAUAUUAUCCGAAUACAUACAAGUUGAGAGUGUCGCACACUUUUGUAACCAUCUUUUAAUUUGCCUUUUGUGCCUUGCAGAACAUUAAUGUAACUUUGUUAUUUUUUGUUUUAUUAAGAAAAUUCUCUGGCAUUUUAAAAAACGAUACUGCAUGACAAGAAAAUAUUGACAGGGAUAACAUAUUGUUCUAUGUAAUGUAACUACGUUUAUUAACGUUUAUUAUCUCUAGAACGUUAGGCUUCCUGUUUUACUGUUUUAUCCUAGAUUAUCCUCUUUGAUCUGUCCCAGCAUACACCCGUUCUCCCAGAGAUAUGUAAUCGAACAAUGUUAGUUUCUGAAAUUUAAUCUGUUGGGGCUGUUGUUCAUACUUCAAACUUGAAAGCAGGCAACAGUUUACUGAUCAGUAAGCUUGUACUAAGCUACUACUGUUGUUUCCCUUUUCCUUUUCAGUUGCUGGAGACCUUGAUUAAAAACUGUGGUGAUUUUGUUCAUAUGCAAGUUGCUGAGAAGGAUAUACUUCAUGAAAUGGUGAUAGCUAAGAAGAAGAUGCAAGUGCCUUUUAAUAUUCUCCUGUGUCAUUCUUACCUGCCACUUCGACAUGGACAUGCAUAUUUGAAUCCCUGGCAAACAAAUUUCUGGGCUUUUGUUUCUGAGUAACCCUAUUCAGUAAUAAGAAUAAUGUCUCAUCUGUUAUUUCGUGCGAUCUGUAGCCUGACUAUCACGUCAAAGAGAAGAUACUAAUUCUGAUAGACACUUGGCAAGAAGCUUUUGGUGGUGCCCGUGCAAGAUAUCCCCAGUAUUACGCAACAUAUCAAGAGAUGCUGGUAAAUGUUUUCAAAUUUUGUUUUCAUGCAUAAAUUGCGACCAUAUUUUAUAGCAUUAUAUGUGGUCUCAAGUACUAACAAACAAAAGGUUUACUAGUAGAAAGUAAGUGGUGUUUGUUUCACCAUCUGGAACAUUGCAAUAACACAAAUAAAUGGAACAUGUUCCUGGUUUAGCUACCUAAUAUUUUUAUCAUCUUCAAAGUGUUACUUUACCUAGUAUAUUUAUAGUACUAAACUCAGAACUCAUCGUACUUUUGAUUUGAUUUAUCAGCGUGCUGGUGCUGUAUUUCCUCAAUGAUUACACAAUUUAAUUUGCCUUUUGUGCCUUGCAGUAUCCGAAUACAUAACUCGUUAACCUGAGACGUUCUUUCCAUGAAAGACACUUAAAUCCAUUCAUAUCUCAAAGACUAGUAGUAUGGAUCUAGCUAGAGCAGUGGGAAAUUGAAUUUUAUUUGUAAAGGAUGUGUUUCCUGAACUACACAAACUAUGAAUGAACAAUCUUGAAAGUUUAUUUUCUGUAACAAAUGUGGUAUGCUUAGAUAGUUUACUUCUACUCUUUGUAUAUUUGGAUGAUGACUAUGACUUAUGUGUUGUGAUGUGGUCAGAUUUGAUAAUAUAUAUAUAUAUAUAUAUAUAUAUAUAUAUAUAUAUAUAUAUAUAUAUAUAUAUAUAUAUAUUGCUAACUGCUUCAUUUGAUUAUUGUAAUUUUUUUUGGCUGUAGUAGUGUCUUUGCCGAGGGCUACUGCCACGGCCCUCGGCAAAGAUUUUUUUAAAAAAUCCUGAAAAUUACUUUGCCGAGAGCCGUUUAGCUAAGCUCUCGGCAAAGAUUUUUUUUUAAAAAAAAAGUCUUUGCCGAGAGUCUGCCUGGGCGGCUCACGGCAAAGUCCUCCUUUGCCGAGAGCCAACCUAGCAGGCUCUCGGCAAAGACUUUUUGAAAAAAAUAAAAAUUCUUUGCCGAGAGCCGGCCAGUCCGGCUCUCGGCAAAGACGACGUCAACUUAGACGUUCCUCGACGGCGAUGUGGGCUUUGCCGAGGGCUUUUGGGCCUUUGCCGAGGGUUUUCGGCUCUCGGCAAAGAAAGCAAAUCCAGUAGUGUCGAGUACUACAUUUUUUUUUAUUAAUUUCUUGCGUGGGCUGGAGCCUGGAGACGAUCUGGCGUUGGCGUACGUGCAACCCUGCAGUGUGUCAUGGAAUGCACAGCAGGGCCGGCUAUAGCUGUACGUGAUGAUCUCACCAGCAGAUCGACACGAUGGCGCCCACGGCAGACACCCACAGCACGACGAGGAAGAGCCCGUAGUGGGACGAGAUGUCUUCGUCGGCAGUAGUGCCGUGGCAGGCGACGAGCAUCUGGAGGACGUCGGCGGCGUGGCCAGCGGUGAACCAUCCCAGAAUGUAGGCGAAGAAGGCGACCAGCCGCGCCGGCACGAGAAGGCCCAUGGUGGCCGCGAGCACCUGCGUGGAGGCAGCCAGAAGCAGACCCUGCGACGCGGUGCGCAGGUCCGCCAUCUCAGCAUGGGUCGUCGGCGCGCAGGCCCCCUGCAGUAGUGGCCGCAGUCGCAGCAAAUAAACAUAUGCAUGGUUAGGUCAGUUACACGCCGCGUCCGUCGUCCUUGGUCGAUUUGAGGAGAAAUGAUGCUAGAAAGCUUUACGGCCCGGCCGGCGGUCGGCCCCCAAGAACCAAGCUAGCCCAAGAACGAAUAUGCAGAAAUUUCACACGAAAUGGAGCAAGAACAUUAUUAUUGCCGUGCUCUAACGUGGGGACGAUCCCAAAGGGGCGAAUUAAAUUUGUUUCAAAAGAAAGGCGAAUUGAUGAAGGAGUAGUGUAGCCCGCAGUACGUAGCAGUUGACAAGCUAGCGCCGCGAGCGAGAACGUACCAGCUCCAGCAGGCGGGAGUCGGCCGCGGGGAGGCUCAUGGCGAACAGGGCGAGCCCCGCCGCGGCGCAUCCCAAGACGAAGAGUGCCGCCGCCCACGCCACACGACGCACUAAGCCUGCGCCUGCUGUCCCCGCCCACCCCACGUUCGCGCGCGCCAUCUGCUGUGUCCACGACGGCCGUGCUGCUGCUGCUGCUGCUGCUGCCGCGGCCGCCUCGACGUCGACUGGCGGCGGAACGGCUGGAUCCAUCCCGGUCUUCUACACUCGAUCGUGUGAACUUAUGUGGAAGGAACUAGCAGCUAGCUAGCACACUGCGUGCGUCUCGUCUGCCAGGGGGAUGGAUGGCCGAUCGAGCAUGUAUAUAUGGCGAGUAAGUGGCUAAGUGCAACACGGCCGGCCGCGCGCGCGGCGUGCUGCAGUGCCGCCAACCGACGUCCGACGAUAUGAUGUGGACCGCGCGAAGCCCGCGGGCAAGAGAGAGACCCACGCACGCGACGAGGCCGGCCAGCAGCUAGCAACGACGAUACCGGGGCGCGCAGCAUCCAACCGGCCCGAUCGGGAGACGCAGGCGGCGGGGCCGGGGAUGCGGGGCCCCUCGGCGUCCGAGCUCAAACGGGCAAUGGCGGCUUCCCUUCCAUCUCUGUCGCGUCCUGAGAAUUGCUUCGCGUCGAAGUUCCACCAGCCAUGUGCGUGCGUGGCCUUGCACUUGCUUGCAGCAGCAAUCGCAUUCGCAUGGCGCCGAGUCAAAUUAGACAAGCAAAAACAAUGCAAGCCCCCGGGACGCGCAUUGGAGCAGUGAGCAGUCCAGUGUAGUAGAUGCGCCGUAGACCCGUAGUAGACUAGACUACGUAGGAGGAUGCGGUCGAGAUUGCAGCGUACGUGCUCGUCUGAUGACUAUUAUUAGCUCUUCUUUUUUCCCUUUUUUCCUUUUUUUGCAGCGCGAUAUAUAUGCGUUGUAAACUAAUAAAGCCUGAUGGAAGACAUAUCUGAGAGUAACUGAUAUGUACAAUAAGCUAGAUAGGUGGUCUAGGGUCUCUCUAUGGCUGGUAUACACGCUUCCAGUACAUAGUUGGCUUCAUGAGAUAAGCUAGAGAACACCAGAGAGCGGCAUAUAAAAUAGCAUAAGGCUUUGUUUACUUCUAUUUUUUUUUUACAAAAUCAGCACUGUAGUAUUUUUGUUUGUAUUUGACAAAUAUUAUCCAAUCAUAGUCAUAGACUAACUAAGUUUAAAAGGUUUGUUUCGCAAAUUACAGAUAAAUUAUGCAAUUAAUUAUUAUUUUUAUCUAUAUUUAAUGCUCUAUAUAUAUAUCGCAAGAUUCGAUGUGACAGGUAAUCUGAAUUUUUUUGCAAAAAUUUUUGGAACCAAACAAGGACUAAGACAAUCGCAAAACGUAAGAUCGAUUGUUGUAGCUUACAAAAGAUCUCUUCAUAUAUUUUUCCUUAUUGGAAUUAUCAUAGGCGUCGAUGAGUUUAUUUGGAGAUAACAGACAUAAUUUUCUAGAUUGGAAUAAAUUAAACUAAGAGGAGUGUUAUAUUAAAAUGUGACCUGUUCGAGGACCGAGCUCUGACUGCAGGGGAACACUAAGCGGCGCCAGCUCUGCAGAGACCGGGCGGCGCUGUUCAUCAAGGAGCAGGCCGCGCGGUGGAAGCAAAGGGGGAAGUGCAGAGCGUUGCGCGAGGCGGCACGACGUCCGGACGCGAGGGGGACGCCAACACGUGCUACUUCCACGCCAGUGCCUAUGCGCGACUCCGACACAACCGCAUUAAGGACUUGUUUAGAUCAUAAACAUUUUGGAUGGGUUAGAACACAAACCAAAAAGGUUUUAAAAUUUUUCGUCACAUCAAAUCUUUCGGCACAUGCAUGAAGCAUUAAAUAUAGACGAAAAUAAAAAUUAAUUGCACAGUUUACAUGUAAAUCGCGAGACAAAUCUUUUGAUCCUAGUUAGUCCAUAAGGACACUCCCAAUGCAAGACUCUAUCACAGAGUACAAGAUAAUUCAUUACAUAUUAUUUAUGGUAUUUUGCUGAUGUGGCAGCAUAUUUACUAAAGAAAGAGAUAGAAAAAAUAAGACUCCAAGUCUUAUUUAGACUCCAAGUCCACAUUAUUCGAGGUAAUAAAUAACUUUAGACUCUAUAAUAGAGUCUGCAUUGUGAGUGCCCUAAUUGGACAAUAUUUGCCACAAACAAACGAAAGUGCUACAGUAGCGAAAUCCAAAAUCUUUUCGUAUCUAAACAAGGCCUCACAAUACAAGACUCUAUCACAGAAUCCAAGACAAUUAAUUACAUAUUAUUUAUGGUAUUUUUCUGAUGUGGCAUCAUAUUUAUUGGAGAAAGAGGUACAAAAAAAAUAAGACUCCAAGUCUUAUUUAAACUCUAAGUUCACAUUGUUCAAGGUAAUAAAUAACUUUAGACUCUAUGAUAAAGUAUGCACUGUGAGUGCCCUUAUAACACUUUUGUUUAUAUUUGAUAAUUAUUGUCCAAUAAUGGAUUAACUAGACUUAAAAGAUUCGUCUCACAUUUAUAGACAAAUUGUGUAAUUAGUUAUUUUUUAUUCUAUAUUUAAUACUCAUGCAUGUACCGUAAAAUUCGAUGUGACGAAAAUCUUAAAAAUAAACAAGGCCUUGCUAAAAUUUUAUGACCACAAGCAUGAUGAAAAGAGAGUUUUCCUUUAAGAGGAAAGGAAUGAUAAAAUGAUCGAGCUUAUUGUCUCAAAGGUUAAGAUCAUUCAUCUUAAUCCAAAUGUGGCCGACAGCAUCCCUUUAGGCACUGAGGCUAAAAAUGGAAAAAUUACCAAGGAGGGCAACGGCUCUCGUCCUGGAAAUAUGGCAUGGUCGCAUGGCGGUGCGGUGGAGGUUGGGCAAUGUGACGCUUUGAGCCUACUUCCCUUUCCUCUGUCUCCGUGGUUCGGUUUCAACCCCUUCGCUUCUUCCGCAGAAGAACACGAGAAUAGGAAGGUACGACAUGAGCGCGUGAAUUAUUCACAUUCUGAUGCCUUUUUACACCGGCUUCGUUCCUUUCGCCUCUAAUCUCGGCUCCGGCGGCACUUGCAUUGCAGGGGUUCAUCACGCCGACGGGAGGAGGAGGUGCGCCAUUCCAAUCCAACCCUGGCCCACCCUCUAGAGGGUGGGGACGUGGGGUGGAUCAUCCUCCUCGCUAGGAGAGAACUCCAUCCCCGUUAAGGCGUUAAACAUUAAUCAUGGCCACUCCAGCUGAUGGCGACGAUGUGUCGCCAUCUCCUUUCAACUCGUCGCCGGAGCCCUCCGACUCGGACCCAGGCUUGGGCUCGCCACCGCCAUCACUCACACCGUCGGUGUCACCGCCACCGGCGCCGAUGGAGAAUAGCAGCGCGUUGUCACCCCCGGCACCUGCGGCCAGAGGCUCGCCGCCGGUAGCGCCGUCAAGGGACUCCCCGCCGUCACAACCGGCUUCGAAGCACAGCGGUGGUGACUCCAACAAGAGUGGCGGCCGCAGCAAGAGCGGAAGUAGUAGCAACGAGGCAACACAGGUAGGUGUCAUCGUGGUCGGCGUGGUGAUCGGUGCCCUAGCCUUCGGCCUGCUGAUGUGCAUCGCCGCAUGCGUGUGCUGCCUCAAGAAAAAAAAGAGGAAGAAGCCCCCGCACAUGAACAUGCCAUACUACACCGACGAGCACGGUACACGCUGCGCUGAUCGACGACAUGCAAAUGGCCGGCGACAGUGCGGAGUAACAACACUGACAGGGCGCGCGUACGUGCAGGGAACGUCUUCUACGCGAACAGCAUGCCCAAGUGGCAGAACAGCGCGAUGGACCACGGCUGGCACGCGCCCUACUCGCCGGCGAGCGGGGACAUGAGCGGCUCUCACGGGCCUGCCGGGCAGGUGCCGGCGCCGUCGCCGGGCAUGCCGUCGCUGGGGUUCUCCAAGAGCUCCUUCUCGUACGAGGAGCUGGCGGCGGCGACGGGCGGCUUCUCGUCGGCGAACGUGCUGGGGCAGGGCGGGUUCGGGUACGUGUACAGGGGCGUGCUCGCGGGCAGCGGCAAGGAAGUGGCCGUGAAGCAGCUCAAGGCCGGGAGCGGGCAGGGCGAGCGCGAGUUCCAGGCCGAGGUGGAGAUCAUCAGCCGAGUCCACCACCGCCACCUCGUCACCCUUGUCGGGUACUGCAUCGCCGGCUCCUCCCAGCGCCUGCUUGUCUACGAGUUCGUGCCCAACAAUACCCUCGAGUACCACCUCCACGGUCAGUACGCGGCGCGUGGCGCUCUUGAGUGGCAUUAUAUUCUGGUUACUGGUUGUGAUGGAUGCGUACGUACGUGGUGGGUGCAGGGAAGGGCGUGCCGGUGAUGGAGUGGCCGAGGAGGCUCGCCAUCGCCCUCGGCUCCGCCAAGGGCCUGGCUUACCUGCACGAAGAUUGUAAGCUCCAAAUUGAUUAGCUCCUUCUGUUUAUUUGACGAUUUUUUUUUUCUGAGAGGUAUAUCCCAUGUUCAUCUUUGACGGGUUCCUUUUCUUGCUAACGAUAUGCAUGGUGAAUUAAGGCCACCCCAGGAUCAUCCACCGUGAUAUCAAGGCGGCCAACAUCCUUUUGGACGAAAAUUUCGAGGCUAAGGUACGCGUUUGACUAAACAAACAAAAAAAAAAUCGACCGGAUCACCGGAGUGAAUUUGUAACUCGUUCGCCCUGAUACAUCUCAGGUCGCGGAUUUCGGACUUGCCAAGCUGACCACAGACACCAACACGCACGUCUCCACGCGCGUCAUGGGAACUUUCGGGUAAGCUCCAUGCCGCCGCGCGCGGCAGCGGCAAAGCGUGCAGUCGGUGACACGAAGGAUGCAGGGGAAAAAGAAAACAAUAGGUGCCUGGAUGACCGUUUGUCUGUGUAUAUGUGUGCAGGUAUUUGGCCCCGGAGUACGCGUCGAGCGGCAAGCUCACCGACAAGUCCGACGUGUUCUCCUUCGGCGUCAUGCUCCUGGAGCUCAUCACCGGCAAGAGACCGAUUGAUCCCACGAACUACAUGGAGGACAGCCUGGUUGACUGGGUAGUCUAGCCUGCCUCCCUCUGUGUAUUGUGUUACCUUUGCACCUCCAUUCGCGCAUGCAUGCAAGCGUUCGAACGCUCGAUACUCACACGUUCACGACGGUGGUGCGCAGGCGAGGCCCCUCUUGGCGCACGCCUUGUCCGGAGAAGGCAACUUCGACGAGCUGCUGGACCCGCGGCUGGAGAACAGGAUCAACCGGCAGGAGCUGGAGCGGAUGUGUGCCUCCGCCGCCGCCGCCGUCCGCCACUCAGCCAAGCGGCGGCCCAAGAUGAAACAGGCCGGUGGAUUUCAGCUUCGGCUUCCUAAGUUUUGCGUUCGAGACCCCUAGCCUGCGAAAUGAUGCGAAAAUAUUCGACAUUACCAUGAAUGAAUUGUUUCGCCCUCUGUCCCCGUUUCUGCAGAUUGUUCGUGCUCUGGAAGGGGACGCGUCGCUGGACGACCUGAACGAGGGGGUGAAGCCAGGGCAGAGCAUGAUGUUCAGCUCUGGCUCGGAGAACGACUCCGGCGGCAACUACGCGUCCAACAUCAACAGGUUCAGGAAGGUGGCCUUCGAGAGCAGCGAGUACAGCAACGAGUACAGCGGGACAAGCGAAUACGGCGCUGAUUCCGAGGAUGGGGCGUCCCGGCGGCAGCAACAUCGCUGAUCGUUUCGUGGGGAGCCUGAGUCUUCGUCAAGAUGCGUGUGUGAUGAUGUACAAUAUACCAAGGGAUCGGUGUCGAUCGUCGGAUACUAUCAGAGAUACCCAACGCUUGUGACAGCUUUAGUACUUGUAAUGAUCGUCAUACUGUCAUGUAACGUAUGUAUCUGUGCGUUUCCGUGUGGGUAAAGUGGUGCUGCUUGCUUCAACUUUUGGCGAACUUUGCUGCUAGUUGUGAUGAGCAGGCCAUCUCGUCGAAAGACGCCGAGGAUUAGGAACUUGUACCAAUGUUCUCCUGGAGUCGGAGUAACUUUCUAACUCCAUUUUACUGCUCCCUUGAUUUCAAAUUAUAAGUUGUUCUGGCUAGAAAAAUUAAGACGACUUUAUAAUUUGGAGGUAGUAAACAUUCAUUCACACUACCAAAAUAGCAGAAUUCUCCUAGUGUUUUCUAUAGUAAUAAAAUACUAUCACUAAUCAAAGCAUUAAGGAAUCCCACUAUGAGAUAUUUAGUAGGCAAAGUUUAUACUAAAUUUUGAAUAUUAAAACACUAGGAAAAAUCCACCUCACUAAAAGGAAUUAGUAAAUUGUGGUUGUGUCAUCGUUGUAGUAUUGAUAAUGCCUAGAUCUCUAUCCUUUGGAUUCAAAAGCCCUCUUGUGGAAGCCAUUGGUUUUCAAAAAAGAAAUAUCGAGGCUAUGUUUGAUUAUUUUCUUCCAAACCCAACAUAGAUAGUGUUAUGAUUAGAACCCACUCUAAUAAUUGCCCAUGUUAGGCGUAAGGGGAAAUUAUUCUUGCAUUCCGUAAAAAACAAAAACCUAUCUAAGUUUAUUGUGACUGAUUUUUUUCACUUGUAUGUCCAGGUAUUCUAAGCAUUCAUAGCCUCCCAUUUCCAUAUUGUCCCCUUGACACCCAUAAUAACACCACAACAAUCUGUUGGUGGUACCCAUAACCAAGUGAAAGGCAAACCACUACUCAAGUGUAGCAAUCCAAGCAUCGAUAAGCAUAAUCAUGACGUCAUUGAAUUCACCAAAAACUUGAUUGGGAAAAUUAUAUAUCAGAAGUUAUUAAGUUUGGCAUUAUUAUGCAAUGACGGAUUGUCCGACAAUAGUCCUAGAUGGUCUGUCAUAAACAAUGCCAAGCUUGUUCGAAUUUGUCAAAAUUGUGUUAUAUGACAGCACUACAACUGCAAAAACACUCAUCGGCUAGUGUCGAGUUGUCCAACUUUCCUCUCCCUUGGUCCACUAGCAAAGGGUCUCUCUCUCUCUCUCACCCCCACUCUCUCUAGCUAGUUCAUCACUGGAGAACACUUAGAAACCUAAGAAAAGGAGGAGGAAGAAAAAAAAA
rnacentral:lncRNA from 1 species